rnacentral:rRNA from 1 species
GACGAACGCUGGCGGCGUGCUUAACACAUGCAAGUCGAACGGAAAGGCCCUGCUUUUGUGGGGUGCUCGAGUGGCGAACGGGUGAGUAACACGUGAGUAACCUGCCCUUGACUUUGGGAUAACUUCAGGAAACUGGGGCUAAUACCGGAUAGGAGCUCCUGCUGCAUGGUGGGGGUUGGAAAGUUUCGGCGGUUGGGGAUGGACUCGCGGCUUAUCAGCUUGUUGGUGGGGUGGUGGCUUACCAAGGCAUUGACGGGUAGCCGGCCUGAGAGGGGGACCGGCCACAUUGGGACUGAGAGACGGACCAGACGCCUACGGGAGGCAGCAGUGGGGAAUAUUGCACAAUGGGCGCAAGCCUGAUGCAGCAACGCCGCGUGCGGGAUGACGGCCUUCUGGUUAUAAACCGCUUUCGCCUGUGACGAAGCGUGAGUGACGGUAAUGGAUAAAGAAGCACCGGCUAACUACGUG